rnacentral:misc_RNA from 1 species
AAGUCGUAACAAGGUUUCCGUAGGUGAACCUGCGGAAGGAUCAUUAACACGUAUCCAAACGUUAAAACCCCCCCCCGUGAACCUUCAUCCUGCUCUUGUAACCCGCGUAGUUCGCAAUCUCUGAUACAAUGUUCUUAAUUAACAAUGGAUAUCUUGGUUCUC